rnacentral:rRNA from 2 species
GCAUGGCUGUCGUCAGCUCGUGUCUUGAGAUGUUAGGUUAAGUCCAGUAACGAGCGAAACCCUUUUUCUUUGUUGCAAAAGAUUUUUUAUUCAGUUACAUUAAUUGAGUUAUAUUCAUGCACUCAAAGAGUAUUGCCUACGAUAUGUAGGAUGAAAGAAAGGAUGACGUCAAGUCUUCAUGGCCCUUAUAGGUUGGGCUACAUAUGUGUUACAACGAUAACAACAAUAAGUUGCAAUAAUGAAAAUUGAAGCAAAUCUAGAAAAGUUAUCUUAGUUCAGAUUGUUUUCUGUAACUCGAAAACAUGAAGUUGGAAUGAAUAGUAAUCGUUUAUCAGCAAGGAACGGUGAAUUUUGUACCUAAAUCUUGUACAUACCGCCCGUCACAUCGAGAGAGUUUAUCUAAUUUAAAGGUAA